UACGAAGGGGGCUAGCGUUGUUCGGAAUCACUGGGCGUAAAGGGCGCGUAGGCGGCUUUAUAAGUCGGGGGUGAAAGCCUGUGGCUCAACCACAGAAUUGCCUUCGAUACUGUAGAGCUUGAGACCGGAAGAGGUAAGUGGAACUGCGAGUGUAGAGGUGAAAUUCGUAGAUAUUCGCAAGAACACCAGUGGCGAAGGCGGCUUGCUGGUCCGGUUCUGACGCUGAGGCGCGAAAAGCGUGGGGGAGCAAACAGG
rnacentral:rRNA from 1 species